rnacentral:snoRNA from 1 species
UUGCUGUGAUAACAAUCUUUGGGACACCUUUGGAUUAACCAUGAAAAAAAAAAAACAAUGUUCUGAACAAC